AACCCCACACCCCACACAAAAAAAAGCUUCUCUCGAUCCCAUCUGGAUCUCAUCGAAAGAAGAGCUUCGUUGCCGGUGUCGACGCACGGGAGAACUUCCUUGCCGCCUCCGACGUACGAUCUGCCACGAUCUCGUUCGAUCUACCUGCUGCCGAUGUACGAGAUCGCCGACAUCGAGAUACGGGAUCGCCGCCGACGUACGAUCUGCCGUCUCUCGCUGCCGCCGUGGUACGAUCUGCCGUCUCUCGCUGCCGCCGUGGUACGAUCUGCCGUCUCUCCCAGAGGAGGCGCCACCGCGGACGUCCGGGAUCACCGCCGCUGACCUGCCAGAGGAGUCGCCGCCUCCAAUCUCCUAGAGGAGCCGCCGCCGCCGACGACCUUCAAGGGAAGACGCCGCCGCCACCUGCGCUGAACCCCAGGGCAGGGUGCGACGAGCGUCGCAAGGAGUACUUGCCGGCCGUACACAGAGGAGGGCUCCACUGUGGCCAUUGGCCACUCUGCUGCAAGCUCAACGCUACAGUUUGACAGGGCCAAGGUGGUAGUAGACGAUGACGAAUAUGGCGCCCUGGCUGUCUCUGUUCAUGAGAUUCCCCCAUGGUGGCCGAAUUUGUAUCACACCAGGCUGCUCCCUCGUAUUGUAAAUCAGAGCUAGCUUAUAUUCAUCCAUUGGUCAUGGCUGACUCCAAAGGCAACACUCCUCCAGUCCUGUGCGUGAUGGCAAAGCUAUGCUACAUGAUAUUAUCAGCUAUGAGAUUUUAUUUGAAGAACCAUGCAAAGCAAUUUGAGAUGAUGCAUAUAAAGCAUAUUCGAUUUAUUAAGUGUUUUUAAGUAUUCAAUUUAUUAAGAGUUCACUCAUCAUUGCCGACCGUACACAGGUAUUCUGAACCUUACCAUCCGAUUUUCAGAAUAAGAGUUGUUUGUAUAAUUCAUGGUGGUUAAAACAGCAGCAUUUGUAGAAUUCCCCUUUGUCCAUGUUGUACCUACAAUUUACUACUAUAUCUGUAGUGCUACUUCAUUUGAAUUUUGUAACCAAAAGAAAUGCAGGCGAGCGAUUCAAGGUUAUUGUUCGAAGUGGCUAUAAUAUGUGGCUCCAGAGGUGCUGAAGCUGCAAACUUGCCGAGGCCAGCAUAAGGAGUGAUGGAGUUAUCUUCUACUUUUAUUUGUUCAUGUUGUCUCAACAAACUGAUUUGUGUUUAUGGUGACUUUUUUAUCUGUCCAUGGAUCAGAGAGGAUGGAUGAUGCAGUGGCCACAUCAAGCGCCCUGUGCUCGACGACAAUGGAAAUGCAGUUUCUCAGAGCUAGCAGGAAGGAGGCUGAUGGCUUCCCGUUGUAGUAACGCGAUGCAGAAGAGACAACACACCAGCCUACAAGGUGAUUAGCACUCAGCAAACUAUUGGAAAGAUGUUGGUACCUUGUUUUUUUUCAAACUCGACAUGCACAUGCAAGAAUAGGUAUGGCUACAUGCUUUCUAUAUCUAUCAGGUUCAUAAAGCAUUUUGGAGAGGUGCAUCUUGUUGGAGAGGUCUGGUAUGCAUAUUUAAUAUUGAAGAAAACAAAAGUUUUUGAUAUAAUAAAGAUUGAUGAAAAUUUGGACUUGACUCUACCAGGGACAAUUUUCAUGCUAAAUUAUACGAAGUUUGUAUCUUGGGGACAUCUUCAUGCCGACUUACGUUUAAUAUUGGGAUAUGUCCCCUCAUGUGCCAGUUUUGAGAUUUUGUUAGAAGUACAUGAUCUAUUCUUAGUUCCUGCAUGUUUUUUCACCUUUCUGUAGAUUUGAGUAUAACUUAAAGUUCUAGAUGCAUAUAAGCUUGUGAGUUAACAAAAGGUCACUUGAUGGUUCUAACUAAAUUCUGCAAAAAUAUGACCAUCACGGGAUGCCUGCACCAACAACUUUAUAAACUCAACUACGUUUUGCUAGAUGACUCAAAUUUUAGAACGCGGGCAUUAUUUUUUGGGAAUGCAGUUAGCAAUAGAAUCAAGUCAAGCUGAAAACAAGAGAUCGAUUGUUCGAUAUUGAAUUUAAUUCCUUUCUUGCAAAAGCACCUUAUGAGUGAGGAGAUUAUUCAAUAUUGUAUUUUAUUCCUUUCUUCUACCCACUGUUCUAUACUGCAAGCUUGCACCUGAUCAGGUUUCUAACUCAAUUCAUUUUUGUUAGAUCCGUCGAUGAAGAAAACAACACAUUUCACGAUAUGAUGAUUGGUUUGAGUGCAGCUUUCAGAUAACUUUCUUUCCUUGGGAUAGUUGGAAUACUAUGACUAGAUAUACAAUGGCUUGUAAACAACUACAAUGAUAUUACACAUCACUUUCUGUACUACAUUUAUGUGCAUUUGGAUCUCGCCAAGGCUAAGAAAUCUGCGUCGCAGCCCCAACUAAUGCAUCAACUUGGAACCAAGGUCCACCCUCUAAUAAUCAGCAUAUAUGCCGCAUGUCAGCCUCAUGGGGAUCAAACAGAUGAGGAGAAGGAGGCAGCAAGGAAGAAGGUAGAGGAGAUGGACACCUGAUCUGCAAGUUCCUGAAUUUCAACGUUUAUUGCGUGUUGCUGUGUUAAUAUUGGGUGCAGCAAUUCCACAACUCUGGGAAGAGCUUCUGCUGGAGGGCGUCACCUGCGGCAUCACCUGCAUCGACCUCUCGCUGAUUACCAUCCCAAGGAUGCGCGACCGACUGGCGGAGCAGGGCACCAGUGAGAAGUUCACCAAUUUGGUUGACUCACCGUUCCCUUCCUCUGUCCACGCAAUGCCGCUCGUUGUUGUUAGGUCGUUAAUUCAUCAGACCCCUUAUUGCGCUACAUAGUUUGUUCAUCUCGCAUGCCUUUUUAGGAGAAAUCAUGUACCGAAGAUAAGCUAUUCUUUAUUUACAUUUUAUUUAUUUCUUCCUGCUACUUGUACGAUUUGCUUUGGAAAUCUUCUGACUACUUGCAUGAAUUUUAGUUCCUA